UACGUAGGGUCCAAGCGUUAUCCGGAAUCACUGGGCGUAAAGCGUGCGUAGGUGGCGCGUUAAGUGAGAUGUUAAAACGUGGGGCUCAACCCUGUCGGUGCAUCUCAUACUGGCGUGCUAGAGGACAGCAGAGGCAAGUGGAAUUAGCAGUGUAGCAGUGAAAUGCGUAGAUAUUGCUAGGAACACCAAUGGCGAAGGCAGCUUGCUGGGCUACUCCUGACACUGAGGUACGAAAGCGUGGGGAGCGAACAGG
rnacentral:rRNA from 1 species